AUUACAUCGAUGAUAAAUAGUGGUGUUCUAGAUUUAAAUGGAGCUCCGAAAAUUUUUUAAUUUUAAUUUUUGGAGAUAACGAAUUGAUUAUUUUUCAUAAAGGUUCUGCGACCUUUCUCUUAUAAUGAAAAGUAUGAUUAUUAUAAUAUAAAACGACAAAAAUAUGUAAUUGUUAUUCAAUAUAGUAUGUCGGUUGCUCCAUUUUUGGUAAAAAAAAGUAAUUUUUAAAAUUUUAUGUUUUAAAAUAUCAUUCUUUUUAGCAUAAUAAGUAACAUUUGAUUUGAGCAUUAAAGACAGGAAGCUAAAAUUUAUUAGAAUUUGAAUGAAAACUGAUAGCUUUCAUAAUAAUUUAUGUCAAUCCGCUGUAACUUUAUCUUUAAAUUAUAUCAUGAAUUUCUAAAUGAGGAAUAAUAUAAAUACCUAGAGAUAUUUAUAUCCAAUUUAAUUCGAAGCUAACCAUUAUUUCAGCAAUAAAAUAGAACAAGUAAAUUUACUAUUAGUCUUGUAAUUCUUAUGUAUGAUUUUAGUUUCUUAUACAUUUUUGAAGAAUAAUUUAACUUAAGGGAUGUUUUUGUAUGUACUGCAUUUGUGUAUUCAUAGACUUUGGCAAUUAAUGUAAGUAUUUUCUCUAUACAAAAUGCUUUUGCACAUAUUUAAUUUUUUGGCAUUUACAUGUGCAACAUCGGUAUUUGGUGGAAGCUGAUUUACAUCCAAUUUUAAGUAUUUCUUAUCUCUCUGGUAGAUGGAUGUUAAUAGAUAUUAUGCCUUAUUUAAGUAUUAGAAUUUGUUGAUAAGAUUUCAAACAUACGUAGAUUAAUCUGAAUUAGUCGGGUAAAUAUUAAUUAUAAAGGAUAAAAUGAAAUUUACAAAUAAUACAAUAAUAAUAAAAUAAUAUAACUUAUAUGUAUUUCAAACUUAAAUUGUGAAUAAAAAUAUAAACAAGAAAUGUUUAUAAUUUGUUGUGUAUUGUAUUCCGAUGAAAGAUGUGGAGUGAUAAAUUUGUUUAAUUUUGUAAAGCAUUAAAAAGCACAAUAUUGUAAAUUUGCUAAUCGUGAGUGGAGAUAUUAUUUUUUGAAGAAUAUUGUAGAAUUAUGACGAAAAGAAAAUUCAAUCUUUCAUCAUUUUAAAAUUAUAUUAUAAUUUUUUAAUCCCAAGGGUGAAAGCUGUACUGAAUCACAAGUUUUUGUUUUACCAAGAUGGAGACGUUAUGCAUAUAUUUUAAUGCUUAAGUCACUGCCUUACAAUUUUCUUUCAACGAAAAUAAAUUCCGUAGAAAUAUUCCGAAAAAUUAUGAAUAGAAAUAUUCAACAGGUGAAUCUUACAGCACAUAAAAUUGUAUUUACAUGUGUACUCGUCAAAAAACAAUUCAUCAAUUUACAACAAAACAUAAUAAUCUCUUUGAAAGAAUUCGCUACCUCUAGCAACAUGUAUGUCCAUGCUUAGUAACUUUUACUUCGACAAAAAAGAUUCGUUGCACAUUCGCAUAGCUUUUUUUUUUAAAGGUAAGCGCCUUUUACAUUUAUAUAUCCAUAUGCAAUUGGUAAGGCAGUGAUUUAUCGUUAUCGGACAAAUCGAUAUGUAUUAACGUUUACGUUGUCAAGAUUCGAACAAUCAAAUUUAAUACGUGACUUUUGUUGACAACGAUUAAUAAAUGUAACUGAUAGAUUGAUAAAAUUGAUAGAACGUUAAAAUAAUUUUCUAUAUUAAUAGAGAUAGCGAUUUCCUUCGUAGUGUUACAUACUCUCUUUCUUUCUUUCUAUCACACUCACACUCUCUCCUUUCUCUCGCACAGAAACAACGCUUCUUUUCAUUUAUAAGCAAAAAGGUAAACAUUAUUCUUCUCUAUCCGAUCCUCUUAAAUUAACGCUAAAAAACGUGUAACGAUUGCACUGUUGACUUUACUAAAGUCAUCGUAUUUACGCAACAAAAUGUUACAAGUAUAAAAAAUUUACGACAAGUACGGCUUCUCGAGUAAAUUUAUCGCUAACAACCACGCCAGCGUUUCUUCUUUUUCUCUCUUUUUUUUUUUUUACAGCAAUAACGCUGGUAAAUCUCUGUCUUCGUUCCUCCGUUGUUCCUUCUUUCAUGCGUUAUUCUCGUGUUCACGUGGGACUAUAUUAAAUUAAUUGGUCACCGCGUUUCGAGAUUCACCGUUUUGCCCCUUGAGCGUCGCAUCAAAACAUAUUCUUCUCCUCUGUGUUUCAAAUUUAUUCCUUCCCUUUUUUGUGUUUCUCUUUCUUUUUCUUUUUUUUUUUUUUUUU